AUAUUCAAGUGCAAAGUCAACAUAGCACCUAACAUGAAUUCUGCCUUAACAUCAAACAUCAACAACCUUUCGCCAGAAUCAUGGACUGUCCCUGUAAUGUUCUGUAUCAUUUUUGUGUUAUAUAUAUUGCAGUACAUGUUUUUGCCAUCCUCUAUGAAGUUCACUUUACUGUUACACUGAAACUCUACAAGGAAUAAGCCUAAGAAAGAUGGGAGUGUUUUUAUCACAGAUUUAUCACACUAGAGUAUUGUGACUAGAGUGUAAUUAGUGGUUGAAUAAGGCUAGCCGUAUGAAUAGUAUUGUUUGCCAUUAGACAUAGAAAUUAGAUUUUGUUAGGGGAGCACACUCUCUUGAAUGGAGUACUUCAUUCUGCAGGAGAUUCCAGCUAUUUUUGCAUUUUAUGUGUGCAGUUUUGUGAUUUGUUUUUAAUGAGACCUAUAGUUUCAGAAAACUUGUGUAAGCAGUUGAAGAAAAUGCACUAGAGCUGCUAGCUGAGGACCUGUGAGGCGUCUUUCCUCUCUGCACAGUUGUGCCCCGCGGCCUCUCGCUUCUCUUUCUAGCUCGGUUCAAGCCACUUCGCACUGUUCUAUGAAGAACGUAGUUCACACCUUUGUAAGUUCUCUUCUAUUUUGAAGUACACACUCUAAAAACACACUCACACUCUUUGUUACUAAUACAACCCUCAGCACCAUUAAUGCCUGUGCAUCUGUUGUUGAUUAUAUUUCAAUUAAUUGAUAUUUCAAUAUAAUGAUCUUUUUCAGUAAUGCACUAGAAAUGCAGUUGACCCACAGAUAGAUUCAUAGAUUCAAUAGUAGCACAAGAGGGGCGUUAGAAUGGCAGUUCUCAGUGAUCUAAUCGGGUCAGGUAGUGCAGAAAAAGGGAAUGACAAAGCAGGACGAGUGACAAAUGUCACCUCUGUAUCAACCUUCUCCUGAUGCUAACGGGAGUCCACAGGUCUCUAGCACUCUGUGUAAUGGUGGAGCCAAAAGGCAAACAGAGGUUUCUGAACAGUUUUAUUUUUCAGCUCCCUUUGACAGGAAAAUGCUUACAAUACAAAACACUGGUUAACUUAAGCAGUGGCACCCAAAUCGGGCAC
ensembl:lncRNA